GAUGAACGCUAGCGGCAGGCCUAAUACAUGCAAGUCGAACGGAUAUAUGUUUUUCGGAAUAUAUAUUAGUGGCGCACGGGUGAGUAACACGUACAUAACUUGCCCUCAAGCGGGGGAUAGCCUUGGGAAACUGAGAGUAAUACCCCAUAGAAUUAUUGGACGGCAUCGUUUGAUAAUUAAAACUACGGUGCUUGGGGAUAGAUGUGCGUCUGAUUAGCUAGUUGGUGAGGUAACUGCUCACCAAGGCGACGAUCAGUAGGGGGCGUGAGAGCGUGGCCCCCCACAGGGUACGUNAGACACGGACCCGACUCCUACGGGAGGCAGCAGUAAGGAAUAUUGGUCAAUGGAGGGAACUCUGAACCAGCCAUGCGCGUGAAGGAUGACGGCCCUCCUGGGUUGGUAAACUUAC
rnacentral:rRNA from 1 species